GCUCCGGUGGCCUAGUGGUUAGAGCGUCCGCCUCAAAUGCGGAAAGUCACCGGUUCCAACCCGGCCGAGUCAUUCCGAAGACU